rnacentral:piRNA from 1 species
UACUGAGAUUAUUUGCAAUAGUGUUUUGGU